rnacentral:rRNA from 2 species
AAAUUGAAGAGUUUGAUCAUGGCUCAGAUUGAACGCUGGCGGCAGGCCUAACACAUGCAAGUCGAACGGUAACAGGAAGCAGCUUGCUGCUUUGCUGACGAGUGGCGGACGGGUGAGUAAUGUCUGGGAAACUGC